rnacentral:lncRNA from 1 species
UUUGAUAAUGCCCCAAGUGUCAUUUUUCCAUAAUCUUGCCAAGAGUCCCUUAAUUUGUAUUUAUUAGCUUGCCAUGUGUUCAAUUCUAUAAUAUAUUUUCUCUGGAGAGUUGUCACCUAGGUUCAUAACCGAUUUUGAUUGGUAGGAUAAGUUAAGAUGAUAUAAAUUAAUAGAUAAACCUUUAUCUUUUAAAUCAUGUAUGCCUAUUAACGCAAAUCAAGGACACUACAUCAAUAGAUGCACUAUUAAUCUGCGAGUUUCACAAUAGCUUAACUCAGCUAGAAUGGUAGUUCAUUGAAGGUCUUUCUUCUUUCUUCUUUCCUUGUUUCGUGUAGUGUCUUCUUCAGACUUGGCAUAAAUGUAAUUUGGGAGCUUUUCUCAAAUACCAUUCUUGCCUAAAAAUGCUUCAAUUUGCACUUUGUGAUUUGCUGAAAAUUCUAUUUUGGUUACCUUGGACAAUAUGGCUGCGGUUCUCGUUCCAAGCUGUUUGUUUUGCUUCAAAAACUUAUGAGAUGGGAUGAACAAACAACAAACCGUUUAUUUGAAACUGCUAUCGAAUAAUUAGUAAUACCUGCACAUAUUUUGGUUGCUUGGAGGAGAGUUGAACCACACGUGGGGAGCAUUUCUCUUUGAACACCCCUAUUUGAACCUCCAUUAGAUUUGUUCAUGUAUAUUGAUAUAUUUGCUUUGUUAUUUUGCAUAAACAAAUGCAUACACAAUACACACUUCUAUGGAAAAGAUUUAUCCAUAAAGUUUGAAUUGUAGGUAUAUGCAUCUUAGGAGUUAGUUAUAAAAAGAUAUUGGAACAUGUUGAAAGUGUUAGUCCCACAUUGUUUAAGUAAGCCACUCAAGUUUAGUAUAUAUAAUCUAGAUGCUACUCCACCUUUGCCAAUUAGUUUUAGGUUGGAUUCCUCGAUCCUUUAUAAUAUGGUAUCAGAAGUAGGUCUUGGGUGGUCCUCGCAUGGGCCAAGUCUCUGCCUGAGUCAUUUCUGUUGUCAUUGUUGUCACCUCCACGUGCAUCUGGGUUGCACGUGCAAGAGAGUGUUAGAAGUGUUAGUCCCACAUUGUUUAAGUAAGCCACCGAAGCUUAGUAUAUAUAAUCUAGAGGUUACUCCACCUAUUACCAAUUAGUUUUAGGUUAGAUGUCUCAAUCCUUUCUAACAUAACUUAUCUUUGAAAAUCAAUAUCCAUGAAAAUGAAAUCUCAUUUGAUUCCGUUUUAUUUGAAAGGACAAAUAUUGUGGAAAAGAACAAUAUGAAUGUCCUGUUAAAAUGGAUACACCUAUAUGUAGUCAAUUGAGAUUUGGGACCUACAUGUAUAGUCUUUAGGGACAUAUGAACAAUAUGAGGUUGUAAUAUGAUUUAACACUCUCUGUUGAACGAUGUCUCUUAUGAGUUCAACUUUGAAUUUUUUCCCCUCAUUUUUGAAGCUAGUAAUUAUUACUUCUACAAUUUAAUGGGACUUGCUCUAGCAGUACAUGUUGUCAGUCAUCCAAAUCAUUCCUUGGAUUUUUUGUAAAUCUUACAUCAUUAUAAAGUAUGACUCUUGGGUUGGUUGAUAUAUUAGAUUUUGUAAUUUUUUUUAUGGUGGUUACUUCUCACUUUUACAAUUGGAUGACUUGGUCCGGUAGUGCAUGAUAAGUGUCAUCUUUUGUCAUUAAUUUAAUUUUUUGAAAAGUUAAUAAUUGUAAGUUACGAUCUUUUGACUAUUUAACAUAGGUGAAAUGUGAUCUGCACCAUCCUUCUCGACAUUAUCUCUUAGUGACUCAAUAUUGAAUUCCAUUGGAGUUGACUUCUUACUUAUAUAGUUUCUUUUGGACUUGGUCCAACAUUGCAUGGUACGCGUUUAAUCAUUCUUUGGAUUUUUUCAAAAUUAUAAGCGAUUGUAAAAUUAUGAUCAUGGUUUUUUUAUAUAGUUGAAUUUUGAUUUGCCCCCAUUCCUCUUGAUGCUAUCUCUUAUAAAUUCCUUGUGCAGCUGGUGAUUGUCGCUUCU